GCUUGUCUCAAAGCUUAAGCCAUGCAAGUCUCAGUACGAGCUGACUUAAAGUGAAACCGCAAAAGGCUCAGUAAACCGGUCAUAGUUUACCGGAUAAAUGCCACUCACGUGGAUAACUGUGGUAAUUCUAGAGCUAAUACAUGCAAACCAGUCCUCUCCAGCGAUGGAGGGGACGAUUUUAUUUGAACAAAACCAAUCGCCCGGCUCGCCCGGGCGUAAGCUUGACGAAGCUAAAUAACACCGCAGAUCGCACGGUCACAGUACCGGUGACGUAUCCUUCAAAUGUCUGACUUAUCAGCUGUCGAUGGUAGACUCUGUGUCUACCAUGGCGCUCACGGGUGACGGGGAAUCAGGGUUCGAUUCCGGAGAGGGAGCCUGAGAAACGGCUACCACAUCCAAGGAAGGCAGCAGGCACGCAAAUUACCCACUCCCGGCACGGGGAGGUAGUGACAAAAAAUAACGAUACGGGACUCAUCCGAGGCCCCGUAAUCGGAAUGAGAACACUCUAAAUCCUUUAACGAUGAUCUAUUGGAGGGAAAGUCUGGUGCCAGCAGCCGCGGUAAUUCCAGCUCCAAUAGCGUAUAUUAAAGUUGUUGCGGUUCUUGGCAAAUGCUUUCGCAAAAAGCUCGUAGUUGGUUCUGCGUGCCGCGCUGUCGGUUCACCGCCUGCCGGUGCAACUGGCAUGCCGCGGCAUGUCCUGUCGGUGGCGGAUAGGCUUCACGGCGCCUCCCUAGCGGUACUCAGUUAUCGUGUGGGCAGCCGCGCCGCGUUGUCCUUGUACGCCGGCUCAAUCCUACCGCGGUGCUCUUCACCGAGUGUCGAGGUAGGCCGACACUGUUUACUUUGAACAAAUUAGAGUGCUUCAAGCAGGCUCUUAAAUCAGCCUGGAUAGUGGUGCAUGGAAUAAUGGAACAGGACCUUGGUUCUAUUUUGUUGGUUUCCGGAAUCCAAGGUAAUGAUCAAUAAGGACGGGCGGGGGCAUUCGUAUUGCGACGUUAGAGGUGAAAUUCUUGGAUCGUCGCAAGACGCACUAAAGCGAAAGCAUUUGCCAAGUACGUCUUAAUUGAUCAAGAACGAAAGUUAGAGGUUCGAAGGCGAUCAGAUACCGCCCUAGUUCUAACCAUAAACGAUGCCAGCCAGCGAUCCGCCGACGUUCCUCCGAUGACUCGGCGGGGAGCUUCCCCCGGGAAACCAAAGCUUUUGGGUUCCGGGGGAAGUAUGGUUGCAAAGCUGAAACUUAAAGGAAUUGACGGAAGGGCACCACCAGGAGUGGAGCCUGCGGCUUAAUUUGACUCAACACGGGGAACCUCACCAGGCCCGGACAUUGGAAGGAUUGACAGAUCGAUAGCUCUUUCUCGAUUCAGUGGGGAGUGGUGCAUGGCCGUU
rnacentral:rRNA from 1 species